AUAAUCACUUUACCAAAGUCAGCACUCAGUCCAGACUUGUCACUCAUCGAACAUAUCCGAGAUAUCCUUGGACAAACUUGGCGCUGCGCUGCAUGAAGAAUGGAACAGGAUGAACCAAGCUGACAUUGUACGUUUGAUGAAAAGGAUGUCUUGCUACAGUGUACCUCCGUCAGGAGAACAUAACCACCUUACCUUGAUCAGCACUCUAGACUGGCCACCCAUCGCACAUGUCUGUGAUAUCCUUGGAUGCGUCGACUUCACAACAGAAACACCAGAUGUGUUCACCAAUGAUGAACACAAUGGAUACGCUUCGCACUGAGUUAAUUUAAUUUGCAAAAAUUAAUCAUAGGAACGAAUCUUGGUCGCUGUGACCUGUGACCCUGGCACAACAACAAUGCCUAUUUUUAGCUAUGUGCACUAGAACUGAUCGCCUUCGUAAUUUUUUUUAUAAAAGGCACAAAAUCAUAUCUAGGAAAGUGUGAAAUAUGUUUUUCGUAAAAAUUGGUUAAUAGUGAAAUAACGUCCGUGAUUGGAUACAGCUGCUGCGUGUGAUUAGUUUUCAGGAAAACAUUAUCUGUGACGAAGAUUACCUUCAACAUCCUCAGUUAGAGUCAACUUAGAGAAGACAUUGUCUGUGUGCUUUAUCCUCAGAUUCGGUUAUCCUCGUCACCCUUCAUAAUAAGAAGCUAAAGAAAACGAGCUGGCCUACCAUGCGUCUUCAAGAGAUGGAAUUGCAUAUUCUGUCUCAAGAACAGACGGAUGGAGUGUCUUGUCUUGUAAUGGCCAUAGGUUGUAGGAAAAUACGUUCAAGAUCUUCAGUCUCACAGACCCAGAGAACACAUUAAAAAUAAUUCCAGUUCCAGCAAA